rnacentral:snRNA from 1 species
AUGCUUGUUUCAGCAGCACAUAUGCUAAAAAUUGGAAUGAGACAAAGAAAAUUAACAUGGCCCCUGCACUGGCAAAUUCACGAAGCAUUCUAUAUAUAU